AUAAGCCAGCAGCCUCACAAGAUGAACUAUCUUAAUUUCUCGGUGCAUGGAAAUUGUCGUUGACAGUAGGCCGAUUGUGAACAGGGGCGGAGCCAGUGUGUCCGGGGCACAUAACCCCUGUCCUGGCCCGCCCAUUACUAUAUGUAGUGAUUUUCAUUUCCCAUUCUUUUUCUUUUUUAAUUCUUCAUCAGAUUCCCUUUCUUCAUUUUCCCACUGAUUUUCCUCAGAUUUGGCCCAUUGCCUCUCUUCUCUCUCCUCCUUUUCUUUUAUUUCAUUUUUUAAUGAACCUCUAUUUUCAUCAAUGAUGGUGAUUUCUUUUAUAGUGUUUAUAAAUAUUUUGUAUAAGAUUUUUAUUGAUUUCGGGGUGGGUUCCGUGCAGGAAAUGACUAAUUGGUUUUUGGGAGCGUAAAACAUAUAUUAUUAUCCCACAAUUCAAAAUCAAAGAUCUAAGACCAGGUGUGGACCAAUGAAGGGAUAGGUUUUUCAUUGUAGUGAACCCAUGUUGGAGAUGAGCCCAUUAACCCAACAUCCCCACAAGGUUUGGGAAAAGAAGUGGCGGACGUCAAUCCACCCCAGCCUUAGUUUGGAGUAGAAAAAUGUUUCUUCUUACUAUCGUUUGUAAUUGGGCAUAAUUUUGUAAAGUGUUGACUCAAAAUGUAGUAUUUUGCAACAUGUAAAGUAUUCAAAUUCAUUUUAUGUAUGGCCACUAGGGAAAUGUAAUUAAGUUAACUA